rnacentral:rRNA from 1 species
AGUGAACGCUGGCGGUAGGCCUAACACAUGCAAGUCGAACGGCAGCACAGUAAGAGCUUGCUCUUACGGGUGGCGAGUGGCGGACGGGUGAGGAAUACAUCGGAAUCUACUUUUUCGUGGGGGAUAACGUAGGGAAACUUACGCUAAUACCGCAUACGACCAACGGGUGAAAGCAGGGGAUCUUCGGACCUUGCGCGAUUGAAUGAGCCGAUGUCGGAUUAGCUAGUUGGCGGGGUAAAGGCCCACCAAGGCGACGAUCCGUAGCUGGUCUGAGAGGAUGAUCCGCCACACUGGAACUGAGACACGGUCCAGACUCCUACGGGAGGCAGCAGUGGGGAAUAUUGGACAAUGGGCGCAAGCCUGAUCCAGCCAUACCGCGUGGGUGAAGAAGGCCUUCGGGUUGUAAAGCCCUUUUGUUGGGAAAGAAAAGCAGCAGGUUAAUACCCCGCUGUUCUGACGGUACCCAAAGAAUAAGCACCGGCUAACUUCGUG